rnacentral:rRNA from 1 species
CACGCAGGCGGUCUGUUAAGUCAGAUGUGAAAUCCCCGAGCUUAACUUGGGAAUUGCAUUCGAUACUGGGAAGCUAGAGUAUGGGAGAGGAUGGUAGAAUUCCAGGUGUAGCGGUGAAAUGCGUAGAGAUCUGGAGGAAUACCGAUGGCGAAGGCAGCCAUCUGGCCUAAUACUGACGCUGAGGUACGAAAGCAUGGGGAGCAAACAGGAUUAGAUACCCUUGUA